CAAAAAUAAAUGUUAUAAUUACAGUAGAAGUCUGAACCUCUUUUGCACAAGAGGAAAAUGGGACUUGGUGCUUGCUAAAACAUGAAUACUCAUAAAGAUUUUUUCUCCUUUCUUCCCUCCCUCCUUCCCUCUUCCCUUUCUUUUUUCAUAGAAUUUCAAGAGUUAGAAGGCACCUUUUUAAUAGAUGCUAAUACUAGGAGAUUUAUGGUAAUAGGACAGGGACAGCAGGAAACCAGCUAGGGACAAGGCUGGAUCUUAUACUCCACCCCCCACCCCCACUACUUCCUGUCUCUUUCUUAACUGAAUCUAAAGGCUCUUCUCAAAAAUGAUCUCAAGGGCUUCUGGUAUGACGUAUUUGUGACCAAGAGGACCAGCUGCUCCAUCCCACUUAGGAGUCUGAACAAGAGUCUGGCACAACUCCAAGGCAAGACCUGAGAUGAGGAUGCUGGGAACCUUCUCAAAGGGACAAAGCACCAAGGCUAAAGCCUCCUAUAGGCUCCAGGUGGCUCACAGACAGCUGGCUGAAAUAGAUGAGCAUUUUGGCUGCAGUGCAGAAAUCCAGAGCUGCUGGAUGCUCUCCAUUUUUCAAAUAGGGAUUUGUAUCACUUUCAAUACAUUAAUGCUCAAGGCAUUCAAUGGUACAGUCACAUGGGACUACCCAUCAUUUCUUAGAAAUGUCUCAUUUCUUUCUUCUCUGUAAGUAAAUUCUGUAUCCCUGCAUCUCUGCUUGUCGGAAUCCUUCCUACACUAUGAAGCCCAGCUCAAACAUGGUCUCUUCCAUGAUAUAAUGCCCAUCCCAUCAGAAACCACUUUUAAAAUCCAUUGAACUCUUAUACUCCCUCCCUUAAGUACUUAGCAUAUUAUACAUUCAUGUAGAUAUUUAUCCCACUUCCUAGACCAUAAAGAUGUCAGAUUCUUCUUAAUGGCCUGAAGGUUAUGUUGAAAAAAUUCUUGAAAAUUUUGUUAUUUGAGUAUAAGCUUUGGGAUGUCUAACUAAGGCAGAAAGACCAAAUAACAUACUGACUAUUAUUAUCUAGCUAAGUUUGAGAAGUUCUUUAUUAUGUUCAGCAAUUUUGACAAAUGUUGAUUAAGAAUACUCUUUUCUUUCACUCUACUGCAAAUAUGAAUAACAUGGAAAUAGGUUUUGAUCAAUGAUACAUGUAUAACCUGGUGGAAUUGCUUGUUAGCUUCAGGAAGGGGGAGGAAAGAGCAGGGGGGGAAUCAUGAAUCAUGUAACCAUGGAAAAAUAUUCUAAAUAAGAAAAAAACUAAAAAAAAAGAAUAUUCUUUUCUCAUGAGGGGAUGUUCUUCAAGGGGAAUGGCUGAAAAAAUUGUGGUCUAUGAUGCUGAUGGAAUACUAUUGUGCUAUAAGGAAUGGUGAAAUGAUGGACUUCUAUAAGAACUUCCAGAUCUACAUGAACUGAUGCUCAGUGAAAUAAUCAGAACCCAGAGAACAUUAUGCAUGGAGACUAUAACAUAGUGGGAUGAUCAAAUGUAAUUGACUUUGCUACUAAAAGCAAUGCAAUGAUCCAGGACAAUUCAGUAGAACUUAUGAGAAAGCAUGCUAUCCACAUCUAGAGAAAGAACUGUGGGAAUAGAAAUCCAGAAGAAAACAUGUGAUAUCAUUUGUUUAUAUGGGUAUGUGAUUUGGGUUUUGGUUUUAAAAGAUUAUUAUAAAAAUGAAUAAUAUGGAAAUGGGUU
rnacentral:lncRNA from 1 species